UGGGGAAUAUUGGACAAUGGGCGCAAGCCUGAUCCAGCCAUGCCGCGUGAGUGAUGAAGGCCCUAGGGUUGUAAAGCUCUUUCAACGGUGAAGAUAAUGACGGUAACCGUAGAAGAAGCCCCGGCUAACUUCGUGCCAGCAGCCGCGGUAAUACGAAGGGGGCUAGCGUUGUUCGGAAUUACUGGGCGUAAAGCGCACGUAGGCGGAUCGGUCAGUUAGGGGUGAAAUCUCAGGGCUCAACCCUGGAACUGCCUUUAAUACUGCCGAUCUGGAGUCCGGAAGAGGUGAGUGGAAUUCCGAGUGUAGAGGUGAAAUUCGUAGAUAUUCGGAGGAACACCAGUGGCGAAGGCGGCUCACUGGUCCGGUACUGACGCUGAGGUGCGAAAGCGUGGGGAGCAAACA
rnacentral:rRNA from 1 species